CCUGGGGAAAAAACUAUCAGGAGGAGUCCAAGUGAUUACCUGGCGAAGCUUAAAUACUAAUGGUUUCCAAACUGCGUGUGCAAAUAAUAACAUCUGAAGCCAUUCAUACCCUGCUUAAAAGAAGGUUGGAAGAAACAUCAGGAGUUGAUCUAGUCCAGCCCCCACUCAAAGCAGAUAGUACUAGUGUUGGAUGCUCAGAGCCUGUCCACUUGAAUUUUGGACACUUUUGAGGAUGGUCAUUCCACAGCCUGUCUGGAAAACUUUUGCCAGUGUUCGACUUCUUUCAUGACAACAACUUUACUUUUUUUUUUUUUUUUCCCCAAAUAUCAAAUCAGAUUUUCCUGUGUUGAUCUUUGUCUCCAUUGCCUCUCAUUCUGUCACUGUACUCCAAAAAGAGUCAUCUUUAACGCAUUCCAUAUAGCUUAAGAUUUCCC
rnacentral:lncRNA from 1 species